GACGAACCGUGCGAACGUUGUUCGGAAUCACUGGGCUUAAAGGGCGCGUAGGCGGGCAGGCAAGUCGAAGGUGAAAUCCCACGGCUCAACCGUGGAAGUGCCCCCGAUACUGCCUGUCUCGAGGGAGAUAGGGGCGUGCGGAACUUCCGGUGGAGCGGUGAAAUGCGUAGAUAUCGGAAGGAACACCGGUGGCGAAAGCGGCGCGCUGGAUCUCUUCUGACGCUGAUGCGCGAAAGCCAGGGGAGCAAACGGG
rnacentral:rRNA from 1 species